CCGCCGGGACGACCCGGCCCAGCACGGGCCUUGCCAGGACGACCUGC
rnacentral:ncRNA from 1 species